rnacentral:tRNA from 1 species
GGACUCUUAACUCAAUUGGUAGAGUAGCUGACUCUUAAUCAGUUUGUUCCGGGUUCGAGUCCCGGAGGGUCCACCA